rnacentral:lncRNA from 1 species
AUGUCUGGGAUUUUGACACGCAACUCAGUUAACCUUCCAGUGGCAGAGAAGAAAGGUCGAUGGAAAUCCCAUCUUCUCAAUCGUAUUGAAGGAAUGCAGUGAUGCUCACUGUGAGUAAAGGAGUUUUGUGUAAGUGCAAAAUCUAAGCAUAUACAAUUUUCAUACAAUUGCAAACUACGGGAAUGCAUUUGUGUCUGUAGCUGAAAAUGCAGUAAUGUAUUCUUGCUAAUUAAAAUGAAUUUUUAUUAGUCCUAGGCUGCUGUGAAAAAGAAAAAAAAAGUUUCUAUUUACUUUGGUGGGGACCUAAGCAACUUGAAAC